rnacentral:rRNA from 1 species
CGGCCUGAGUAAAGCGGCAGACGGGUGAGUAACGCGUGGGAAUCUUCCCUUCAGUGAGGAAUAACUCUGAGAAAUUGGAGCUAAUACUGCAUACGUCCCAUUGGGAGAAAGGCGGCUUUAUGCUGUCGCUGAAGGACGAGCCCGCGUACUAUCAGCUAGUUGGUGAGGUAAUGGCUCACCAAGGCUAUGACGGUUAGCCGGCCUGAGAGGGUGUACGGCCACACUGGAACUUAGACACGGUCCAGACUCCUACGGGAGGCAGCAGUGAGGAAUCUUGCGCAAUGGGCGAAAGCCUGACGCAGCGACGCCGCGUGGAGGAUGAAGGUCUUCGGAUUGUAAACUUCUGUUAAGUGGGAAGAAACGCGCGGAGUUAAUACCUCCGUGUAAUGACGGUACCAUUAUAGGAAGCACCGGCUAACUUCGUGCCAGCAGCCGCGGUAAUACGAAGGGUGCUAGCGUUAUUCGGAAUUAUUGGGCGUAAAGGGUGCGCAGGCGGUAUAUUAAGUCAGUCGUUCAAUUUCCCGGCCUAACCGGGAGUCUGCGGCAGAUACUGAUAUGCUUGAGGGUGGAAGAGAGAAGUGGAAUUCUCGGAGUAGCGGUAAAAUGCGUAGAUCUCGAGAGGAACACCAAUGGCGAAGGCAGCUUCUUGGUCCACACCUGACGCUCAUGCACGAAAGCGUGGGGAGCAAACAGGAUUAGAUACCCUGGUAGUCCACGCCGUAAACGAUGAUCACUAGACGUUAGUCUCACUCUGUGAGAUUAGUGUCGUAGCUAACGCGUUAAGUGAUCCGCCUGGGGAA